UGGCACAUCUUUAUGGGAGGGUGCACAAACUCUAUAAAAUAGGAUUUUAGGUCCUCCUUCUACCCUAACAUCACUCUCAUUAUUGGCUCCAUCACCAAGAGAGCAUUAAGGGGAGCUAGUGGGAAAAACCUAGAGAAUAUAUUGUAUUCAUGCUUGGGGUUGCAGGAAGGAUAUAACGGCAACGAAUUCUUUAUAGUCGAUGGUGAAAGGUAUGCGUCGACCCAUAUGGUUUAAUUUGUGAUUCCAUGAAUGUAUGGCAAGAUACUAUUGUUAUUAUAUAGUAGGAAUUUCGUCCUUCAAGUAGUAUCAGAGCGUAUGGUUACGCCAAUGCGUUCUUGAAUCACAUGAAAUUUAAUCUAUGUAUUUUGAACACUCCUAUGUCGAUGCACGAAACAAUGGUUUCAUAUACGAAAGAUUUAUGAUUACGUUGUGCGACGCUACGUAAAUCGCACAUCAGUGCUUUGCAUAUUACUGCACAUAGUUUUUUAGCCACGAGGACCCUUGGCCGUAAUUGGCUCUCAUUCUGAGCGCAGCAUCGGCUGCAACUCGAUGAAGUUUUUUUGUUUUGAAAAUAAGGGAUAAUGAUGAGUACUGUUCAUGAAUGGUAUUCGGUACUAUUCAUGAACAGUACCCAUAUUAUAUUAAAGUUGGUUUGUGGGUUAUGUCAUCAUUGAAUAUUUAUUUAUUUUUUAUUUUAUUUUAUUUUUUUUGUAUAAUGCAUCAAUGAUGACAUUGAAUGAUAAUUAUUUGAUGACCAAAAGUGGUCAACGUAGUUAUGAUAAUAUAGAUCCGAUCGAUCGGAUCGGCUUGAAUGGGAUGAAUUGUAUUAGUUUUGAUAUUAGUCCAUAUGAUUCAUGAUCGAUAUCAUACGGACAAUCGCAAAAUCCCCUCAUUAAUUUAAAAAUCCCCUUUAUGUUAUUCUCUUGGGAUUCACAAGUAUUGAAAAAUUUAAACUUUAAUUGUAAAUUAGGGUUUAUUUGUUAUACUUUACCCAAAGGGUUUAUUUUGUAUAAUGUAAUUCAGGGUUUGGUUUGUAGACCCUUCUUAAAAAGAAAAUUACAUUUUUACCCUUAUUGACUUAGGUCAAAUGGUAGGAUACUUUAUAUGAUUCACUUUAUAGUUAUUGAUAUGAUGAUGCAUAUUACCAACUGAAUUUCUAAGAAUUUUAAAAUACUAUUUAUAGUAAAAAUAGAUAGAAAUCUGUGUUGUCUAUGUCUUUAUGCAUUAUUUUAGAACACCUAUGAUGCUUGGAUGACAAUUUAUGUUAAAUUUAAAUUAAAAGUGUAUAAUUCUCAAAUUUAAAUGCGUUUGGGGCAUCAAGGAUUAUGUGAUUAAGUUGAAUGAGAGUAUCCAUAGGUACAUAAUUUUUUUCUUGAUCACAAUAAUUAUAUGUUGGCCUUAAACAUAAUUGUAUCACAGAUUCAAUUUAAAUUUUAAACUUUAGAGUCUUAUGAUGAUCGUUAUGUAACAGUCAAGAUAGAAUGACAAUAUCCGCAGAUAUUCAUUCUUGAUUGAAUGCGUUGAUCUAUAUAUGAUAGUUUAACGGUCAAAUAUGAUAAGAAUAUCCACAGGUAUACAUCUUAUUUGAUCAUUUUGAUGACUUAAAUAUUUUACCCUAAUGAUGUCUUCCAUCUAAUGUAAAGUGAACCACUAAUGUGUUACCAUCUCAAUCCUACAUGAUAGAUUGUAAUGAUGCAAUAAGUUACUUUUUUGGGUUAGGUUCUAUCAAUGCUUGCGGUUAAGGUUUUUGAGGAAAAAUAAAACCAACACCAUGAAGCUGGCAAGUAAGUUGGAUUAGCAUUCAAAUUAAUAGAUAUGUUGUCUAUAUUAUCAUAACAAGUUGGGUCAAUUUUUUAUCAAAGGCUAUUAUGCCUAAUGAAAAAAAGUUGGGCAUGUAAAGAGUGCUCAGCACUGUUUUUUACUCUUAUCCCCCUUGGAAAUAUUUCUCUACUCUUUUUUUUUAUGGUAGUCUUUCUAUUGGUUGAAUUGCUAACUCUCGAAAAGUUAAUAGCAUGUCCAACCUGCUCCUUAUAUAAAAGGUCAGUUAUAUUUGAAUAAAUUUUUUUUAAUACUAAAAUAUAAAAAUGAAAUUCAUUAUUGAAAAGGAAGAGGCAUAUACCGGAUUUUUAGUUAUAAAGAUAGGAGUUGGAUUGGUGAAUUGGUCGAUUCGAAACAGAAGCAGCCUCGACUGUUUCAAAUCUGUUUUCAGCUGAUUUGAAUUGGAAUUGACACUGAUCGAUUCAAUUUCCACUUCUGCCUUAAAGCAUGAUAUUUGAUAAGCAUGUAUUAUUUACUCUUGUUCAUAGGUUCAACACCUAUCUCUAUUUAAAAUAACGUGCCACUUUUGAAUUGAUCAAACUUUAAUGACUGGCAUGAAGAAUUCAUUUAUUAUCUUGCUGCCAUGGAUCAUGAUUAUGCCUUACAUAAUGAGAAACCAGUUGCUCUCACUGAUGAGAGCACUAAUGAUGAUGUUAUAUUAUAUGAUUGGUGGGAGCGUUCCAACCGUCUUUGCCUUUUAUAUAUCAUGAAGACAAUUAGCAAGACUAUCAAAAGUUCCAUACCAACUUCUGAAAAUGUAAAGGAAUACCUAAUCAAUGUAGAGAACCGUUUUACUAUUGCUGAUAAAUCUUUUGUUGAGACUUUGAUGACCAAAUUAGGAACAAUGAAGUAUACUGGUACUAAUGGGAUAAGGGACCAUAUCUUUGAAAUGGCAAGUAUCUGUGCACAACUAAAACCCCUUGAAUUGAUAAUGAAUGAAGGUUGCCUUGUCCAAAUCAUUAUGACUUCAAUUCUUCCUCGUUUUGGAGCAUUCAAGAUCCACUACAUUACAAAUAAAGAUUAGUGGACUCUAAAUGAACUUCAGAGUAUGUGCGUCCAAGAGGAAAGGAGAUUAAAUGAUGAGGAAGUCAGGUGGUCAAUUUUGUAUCCAACCAGAAUAAAAAGAAGAGAGAGAAUUUUAAGAAAAACAAUGCAUCAAAGAAAACCUCAAAUCCAAAGUCUGAUGAUAAGAAAAAUAAAACUAACAAGUUGAAGUGUUUCUUCUGUAAGAAAGUAGGACACCUUCAGAAAGACCGUCAGAAACCCAAGACCUAGCUCGAAAAGAAAGGGCUUUCAUACAACCCAAAAACCGAAUCAAAGUAAGAGCGUCGUCUACAUGGUAAAUCGGCAAGAGUCUAAAGUUUGAUCCAUCAGCACUUAUAGACUCAUUUUGGAUAUCAGAUUCUAGUUGGACCUUAUGGAUACUCUUUAUAUUCCUUCUAUUUCUAAAAAUUUGGUUUAAUUAUUGAGACUUGAUUGUGAAGGUUUUAAGUUUACUUUUGGUAAUAAAGUUGUAAACGUUUUUAAAGACAUCAAUCUAGUUUGCACUGGAUAUUUA